rnacentral:rRNA from 1 species
GAUGGACCCGCGUCUGAUUAGCUGGUUGGUGAGGUAACGGCCCACCAAGGCGACGAUCAGUAGCCGGCCUGAGAGGGUGAACGGCCACAUUGGGACUGAGACACGGCCCAAACUCCUACGGGAGGCAGCAGUGGGGAAUAUUGCACAAUGGGGGAAACCCUGAUGCAGCAACGCCGCGUGAGUGAAGAAGUAUUUCGGUAUGUAAAGCUCUAUCAGCAGGAAAGAAAAUGACGGUACCUGACUAAGAAGCCCCGGCUAACUACGUGCCAGCAGCCGCGGUAAUACGUAGGGGGCAAGCGUUAUCCGGAUUUACUGGGUGUAAAGGGAGCGUAGACGGUUUUGCAAGUCUGAAGUGAAAGCCCGGGGCUUAACCCCGGGACUGCUUUGGAAACUGU